AUAAUUUUUACAGUGAACAACUAAAAUAGUCAGAGAAAUAUACUUGUUUCUAACUCAGCUAGGAAAAUAAGUACUUUGAGGUAUAUCAUGCUGGCUUACCCUCCCUUUCCUCAUAGAAGUGGGUGUAAGAGACAUUGGAUAUAGAGGGGUUUGGUGAGCAAUUACUCAUAAUUUGUGCACACAUGCAUGCACACACACAUAAGCAACUGAGUUUGUCUGACUCAGGUCAUUUAAUAUUAUACUGUUCUGCCU
rnacentral:lncRNA from 1 species